rnacentral:rRNA from 1 species
UACGGGGGGAGCAAGCGUUGUUCGGAAUUACUGGGCGUAAAGGGCGCGUAGGCGGACAGUUAAGUCAGACGUGAAAUCCCUCAGCUUAACUGGGGAACUGCGCCUGAUACUGGAAGGCUUGAGUGCAGGAGAGGAACGCGGAAUUCCAGGUGUAGCGGUGAAAUGCGUAGAUAUCUGGAGGAACACCGGUGGCGAAGGCGGCGUUCUGGACUGCAACUGACACUGAUGAACGAAAGCCAGGGGAGCAAACGGG